UGAAGGUUUUCGGAUCGUAAACUCUGUUGUUAGGGAAGAACAAGUAUCGGAGUAACUGCCGGUACCUUGACGGUACCUAACCAGAAAGCCACGGCUAACUACGUGCCAGCAGCCGCGGUAAUACGUAGGUGGCAAGCGUUGUCCGGAAUUAUUGGGCGUAAAGCGCGCGCAGGCGGUCCUUUAAGUCUGAUGUGAAAGCCCACGGCUCAACCGUGGAGGGUCAUUGGAAACUGGGGGACUUGAGUGCAGAAGAGGAGAGUGGAAUUCCACGUGUAGCGGUGAAAUGCGUAGAGAUGUGGAGGAACACCAGUGGCGAAGGCGACUCUCUGGUCUGUAACUGACGCUGAGGCGCGAAAGCGUGGGGAGCGAACAGGAUUAGAUACCCUGGUAGUCCACGCCGUAAACGAUGAGUGCUAAGUGUUAGAGGGUUUCCGCCCUUUAGUGCUGCAGCUAACGCAUUAAGCACUCCGCCUGGGGAGUACGGCCGCAAGGCUGAAACUCAAAGGAAUUGACGGGGGCCCGCACAAGCGGUGGAGCAUGUGGUUUAAUUCGAAGCAACGCGAAGAACCUUACCAGGUCUUGACAUCCUCUGCCAACCCUAGAGAUAGGGCGUUCCCCUUCGGGGGACAGAGUGACAGGUGGUGCAUGGUUGUCGUCAGCUCGUGUCGUGAGAUGUUGGGUUAAGUCCCGCAACGAGCGCAACCCUUGA
rnacentral:rRNA from 1 species